rnacentral:rRNA from 1 species
CCUACGGGUGGCAGCAGUGAGGAAUAUUGGUCAAUGGACGCAAGUCUGAACCAGCCAUGCCGCGUGCAGGAAGACGGCUCUAUGAGUUGUACACUGCUUUUGUACGAGGGUAAAUCCCGAUACGUGUAUCGGGGUGAAAGUAUCGUACGAAUAAGGAUCGGCGAACUCCGUGCCAGCAGCCGCGGUAAGACGGAGGAUUCAAGCGUUAUCCGGAUUUAUUUGGUUUAAAGGGUGCGUAGGCGGUUCGAUAAGUUAGAGGUGAAAUCCCGGGGCUCAACUCCGGCACUGCCUCUGAUACUGUCGGGCUAGAGUUUAGUUGCGGUAGGCGGAAUGUAUGGUGUAGCGGUGAAAUGCAUAGAGAUCAUACAGAACACCGAUUGCGAAGGCAGCUUACCAAACUACGACUGACGUUGAGGCACGAAAGCGUGGGGAGCAAACAGGAUUAGAUACCCGGGUAGUC